rnacentral:rRNA from 1 species
UACGUAGGGGGCGAGCGUUGUCCGGAAUUAUUGGGCGUAAAGAGCGUGUAGGCGGUUCGGUAAGUCUGCCGUGAAAACCUGGGGCUCAACCCCGGGCGUGCGGUGGAUACUGCCGGGCUAGAGGGUGGUAGAGGCGAGUGGAAUUCCCGGUGUAGCGGUGAAAUGCGCAGAUAUCAGGAAGAACACCCGUGGCGAAAGCGGCUCUCUGGAACGGUACUGACGCUGAGACGCGAAAGCGUGGGGAGCGAACAGG